rnacentral:rRNA from 1 species
AACGAACGCUGGCGGCAGGCCUAACACAUGCAAGUCGAGCGCACCCUUCGGGGUGAGCGGCGGACGGGUGAGUAACGCGUGGGAACGUGCCCUUCUCUGCGGAAUAGCCUCGGGUAACUGAGAGUAAUACCGCAUACGCCCUUUGGGGGAAAGAUUUAUCGGAGAAGGAUCGGCCCGCGUUGGAUUAGGUAGUUGGUGGGGUAAUGGCCCACCAAGCCGACGAUCCAUAGCUGGUUUGGGAGGAUGAUCAGCCACACUGGGACUGAGACACGGCCCAGACUCCUACGGGAGGCAGCAGUGGGGAAUCUUAGACAAUGGGGGCAACCCUGAUCUAGCCAUGCCGCGUGAGUGAUGAAGGCCUUAGGGUUGUAAAGCUCUUUCAGCUGGGAAGAUAAUGACGGUACCAGCAGAAGAAGCCCCGGCUAACUCCGUG